GCCUCCAUAGCUCAGUGGCUAGAGCACUGGUCUUGUAAACCAGGGGUCGGGAGUUCGAUCCUCCCGGGGGGGCU
rnacentral:tRNA from 1 species